GUGAAUCAUCGAAUCUUUGAACGCACAUUGCGCCCCGUGGUAUUCCGCGGGGCAUGCCUGUUCGAGCGUCAUUAUGACCAAUCACGCCUCGCGUGGUCUUGGGGCCUGCCGCCGGGCAGCCCCUAAACGCAGUGGCGGCGCCGCGUGGCUCUCAGCGUAGUAACUCACCUCGCUCCAGAGCCCGCGCGGAUGCUCGCUAGCAACCCCCCAACUCUCAAGGUUGACCUCGGAUCAGGUAGGGAUACCCGCUGAACUUAAGCAUAUCAAUAAGCGGAGGA
rnacentral:misc_RNA from 1 species